rnacentral:rRNA from 1 species
UACGGAGGGUGCAAGCGUUGUUCGGAAUUACUGGGCGUAAAGCGCGUGUAGGCGGCUUGGCAAGUCGAAUGUGAAAGCCCCGGGCUUAACCCGGGAACUGCAUCCGAAACUGCCUCGCUAGAGUCUCGGAGAGGAAGGCAGAAUUCCCAGUGUAGGGGUGAAAUCCGUAGAUACUGGGAGGAAUACCGGCAGCGAAGGCGGCCUUCUGGACCGAUAUUGACGCUGAGACGCGAAAGCGUGGGGAGCAAACAGG